AUGAUGGAGCUGUGGAGGAUCUUCGUGCUCGCUGUCUUCUUCGGUUUUCUGCUGAUGUUUCCUGCAGCUGCAGCUGAGUCUCAGUCCGAUCUAACCUGCAACGUCACCAUGCAGUCCAAUGGUUCGGUCCAGUAUCAGCUGUCCCUACCCAGUUCAGCCCCCUGCAGCACCAACUGGGAGGACAUAAACAAAACAUCGCUCGCCCACGACUCCACUUUUCAUCCAGAACUCGUCGUGAAGCUGACCAACAGGUCCAUCACCCUGAAGCACUGCCAGGACUACAUACGCUUUGCACGGGACUGUUUUAGGUCCUUCGAGGAAGUCGAAUGCAGAGUAAACUGCAGCCGUCUCAAAUGGGAUCAACCCAACCUGACCACUAUUAAAACGCCUCCUUCCGUGAACAACAUGUUGAUACUGCCUCUCUCUAUGUAUGGACAAGUCAACCUUUGGGUGGGUUGUCUUUGGUAUCAUCUUCGCUGUUGUUGUCGGUGUUGUCUCCCUCUUCCUGGGUCUGUACUGGAAAUGCAAACGAAGGACGGCACAAUCUGCGGUGAAGACAACUUCAUACACUCCUGCAAAUGAACAGAUUAAGGUGUUGAUUGUCUAAUCAUGGAGGGGAAAAAAAUCAAAUCAAAUAAAUUUAAAUCUAUUAAUUAUUAAUAAAAUAAUAUUUAUUUUUUUAUAUCCCUUUGUAACGUGUGUUACAUAUACAGAAAUUAUUUCAUAGAAAUAUUGAAAAUGGGUUAUAUUACGAUAUUAUAACAGUAUAUUAUAUUUUAAAACUAAAUAUACUUUUGUAUAAGACCAAUGUUUGUUAAAAAAAAAAGGUUUAAAAAAGGAAAUUUUAUAUACGGUUUAAAUGGUGCUUUUGGAACCAGAUUUUCUUUGUUAUAUAAUUUAAUAUUUAAAUCUUUUUUUAAUGAGUAACCUGGUGGUCUGAGGAAAGCCGCUUUCAGAAGGUCUCAGGCUCAUUCGUAGUUUAAAUCUCAGGAAAUACCAAAGAAAUAAAAUGCUGUAAGCUCUGCAACUUAGUUUGCUUUUGCUAUCUAGCAGUAAUAGUAGCUCCAUAACUGGUUGCUCCCAUUUGCUAACUUCUGCUUGGUUUUGAACUGACGGUUGCGCGUUCUUCGAUGUAAUUGGCUAACUAAUCAUUAAUGUGGAUUAGCUAGCCAGUUAGGUAGCAUUUGAAGGCUAACUUGCCAGUUAACCUAACAAGUGAUGUAGAUUAACUUGCUUGUUGGCGAGCAUUUUGCUAACAUUGAUAUACCUUAAUAAGUAACGGCACUUAGAGGCCGGACUUUGGAAGGGUCACUUGAGAAAGUUCAUUGAAGCUCUGCGUAGAUUUACUUCCUCUACUGCUGUUGAUUGUUUCACUGAAGUAUGAAAUGAUAUUUUGUUGUGCGAUUGGACGCUACGCAGUUGUGUGUUUUGAAAACCCUGAAAACCGUUACAAAGUCUGUUUACUUGUUUCAGUUCUUUUGUGUCAUUAGAAACAUAGAGCUGUGUGUCAUCUGCGUAAUAAAGCAGAAACUAAGGUUGUCUAUUUCAGAAGAGGACAAAGACUGAUGAAAGAGUCGGGUUUAAAGGUCAAACUAUCAUAUGAAAGACAGAAAACGUCAACCUACUCAAGCUCUCACUUCCCCUAGGCAACUUCUCCUCCCAAUUAGUCCCUUCCCCUAUUAUUCUAUUUCUUUUUCUAUAUAUAGUAGAGCUGACCAUAUUCACCAAGAGCGAGUGUGCAUUGUUAUGUGAAAGUCACACUUUCCUCUCAAAGGUAUGUGUGUUACACAUCCAAUUAGCCGCUCCUCUUGGAUCCUGCAGACGGUUAUUAAAUAUACCGUCUGUGCAGAUUUCUCCCAAACUAUCCAACAAAACCAGUUUCAGAUAUUUCUGAGACUGGGAACAGGCCUUGUUGCAGAAUCGUGUUUCCAGACUUUAAUCUUGUAUUGAAAAAGGAAUAUUGUCUGGUCAUAAAGGAGCUGGUCUGGUUAAAGCUUCACCGUUGUUUGGAGAAGCUUGUUUAAGGAUCUCUACUGAAGGUCUUGUCCAGAUUCGGUGCCCUGACACACCAAGCUGACCUCAAAGAACGGAUUAUAGUUUAUUUCUCUGUUGUGAGACAACUGAACAAGAACAGCCUACCGUUAGCUAGUAGCUACCUUAAACACGGCUAAAAUGGCGAGUUAAACGGUCUAAAGUGUGUUUUACCGUUUAGAAAUCGUUGAUGAGGACUAUGUUAUUUACUUAUUACGUCAUUUGAGUAAUAUUGUUGGGUUUUCUUAACGUUCUUUAACAUUGCCAAACAUAAUUUUGUGCACCGUUUAGACACCGGUACCGUGUCAAAAGUAUUGAAAGCACCGGUAUUAACCCCCCCAACCCCAACCCUAACCCCGACCGUCAUUGGGUAGUUUUAGCAUUUAGCACAUCAUUUAAUUUUAAUUAGAUUAACCACUGUACCAACACACAACACUGUAUAAAUAUAAGUGUCAGUAGCUAAAUUCUUAUCAUACGACGCCCCCUUUUGAUGAAAACUUUUGAUAACUCAUUGUGAUGGUCUUUCCAGUGUAUUGGUCACAUUUGAGGUCGAUCCGAUCAACAAGAGGAGUUAAUAAAAGUAGAAUCUGCGCAAAUCGCCAAAAAUGACCAAUAAAUUCUAACUGGCCGACUUCCUGUUGGGUCUGGGAGGCUUUAUUGUACGUCAGGACAUGAAAUACGUGUGCAACGAUUUUCAUGCAUAUGGGUGAAAGGUGCAGCAGGUUCCUGCUCUUUAGGGGGCGCCGUCGAGGCCUAUAGAGUACGUACAUUUCCGCCACCGCCGAGUUCGACUCCGCGUCAAAUGGAGGAAUAAUACGUUCAUCAAUCUCCCAGUUACAUACAAAAUAAUCUUAUUUUAAGUGUUUGAUCAAUAAUUUAGAGUUUUGAUAAUUGGUCCCCAGUAACCGAUGGUCGGCUUGGUGUAUCAGGGCUUUCAGCUCCACGACUGCUUCGAAUCCCAAAUGUCAUCACCAGCCUCCAAUUAUAAUGGAGGUCAAAGGUCAGAGGUCACAUUGGGAUAAAUAAUCCAAGUGACCAAAAAAAGAAAAGAUCGUGGUUGAUAGAUAAGGGAAAAGAUAAAAAUGAAGACUUUCUAUCAGGUCAUCUGAUGUGCUUGUACGCCGUCAGAGCUCAUGCUGAUAGUGAUAUUGAUCUUCAACUGUGGAAGUUGGGAGAUUCAUUUAUAAUAAUAAUAAUAAUAAUAAUUAUAAUUAUUAAUAAGAGUCAGAUAUUCACGAGGUCAAUGUGUGAUAUUAAGACUCAAAUGAAAGUUUAUCCUCUUCUGGAGGAUCUCACAGACCAAAGCUGUUUGUUCCCCUUUUAUUUCCUGUUUAGUAUCAUUGUGUAUUCUUUGAUUCAUUGGGCUUUUUAUUUUGUUUUAUUGGUGGUAAAAUCUACAUGUUUUAUGUCAAAUUAUGUUUAAAAUGUGGGAAUGGGUUUCAGUUUGUGCUACUUAAAGGACCAGUGUGUAGGAUUUAGUGGAUUGUCCGUUCUGGGCUACUGUAGAAACAUGGUCGGGUCAACAUGGCGGUUUCAGCCACCAGAAGAGGACCCGCUCCCUCUGUAGAUAAAAACGUCUCUUUCUAAAGUAACAAACACACAGAUUCUUAUUUUCAGGUGAUAAACUAAUGAAAAUAUACCAAGGAAUAUUAUAUUUCUACCAAUUGAUCCUCCUCAAUGUUACACACUGGAUCACAGCAACGUUUAUUGUUUUUUUAUUUUUUAUUUAAUAUAUUGGACCUGAUUAUAAAAUGAAGAUAUCAGUUGCUUUUUAUGUACAAUUAUAGAAAUGUGCAUUCUUUGUUGGCUUAAUGGCAAUAAAAUUAUAUUGCUUGUAGUUUAUCUAUAUGGCUUUAAUUGUUAAAUAAAUGAUUUCAAAUGGCUGUCUGGGUGGUCUCCUUUAAAAGUAAACGUCUCAAAAAUCAAUGUGUGAUUCUGUUUGCAUGAUAUCAUAACCAGGACCAGCACUUUUAAUGCAGAAGCAGCUUUAACUUGGACUGUUCACAUGAAUAUUUAAUGUCCUAAAUAUGUCCAGCUGUCAGAUGCAGGUUCAUCAGCAGAGAUCAUGUUUUCAUCAGCAGCUGGUUGACGCUGCAGCUCUCAUGUGUUCACAGACUGCAGCCGUUUAAUUCAUA
rnacentral:lncRNA from 1 species